AUUGAACGCUGGCGGCAGGCCUAACACAUGCAAGUCGAACGAGUGGCGGACGGGUGAGUAAUGUCUGGGAAACUGCCUGAUGGGGGGGGAUAACUACUGGAAACGGUAGCUAAUACCGCAUACCAUCGGAUGUGCCUAGAUGGGAUUAGUGAGUGGGUGGGGUAACGGCUCACCUAGGCGACGAUCCCUAGCUGGUCGUAGCGGAUGACCAGCCACACUGGAACUGAGACACGGGCCAGACUCCUACGGGAGGCAGCAGUGGGGAAUAUUGCACAAUGGGCGCAAGCCUGAUGCAGCCAUGCCGCGUGUAUGAAGAAGGCCUUCGGGUUGUAAAGUACUUUCAGCGGGGAGGCGUUACCCGCAGAAGAAGCACCGGCUAACUCCGUGCCAGCAGCCGCGGUAAUUC
rnacentral:rRNA from 1 species